AUACCCUAUUAUUUUUAUUGUAAAUUUGUAAACUAGAGUAUUAUUAGUUAAGGUCUUGAAACUUAAAGAAUUUGGCGGUAUUAUAGUCUAUUUAGAGGAAUCUGUUAUGUAAUUGAUAAUCCACGUUGAACCUUACUUACUUUUUUUCUUGUAUACCGUUGUUUAAGAAUAUACUUAAAGGUGAUUUUCCGAAUAUGUAAUUAGUUAAUAUUUCAAAUCAAGGUGCAGUAAUAUGUAAGUUGAAUAAUGGAUUACAAUAAAAUUUAUUUAUUAUGGAUUGUUAUUGAAAUAUAAUUUGAAGGUGGAUUUAA
rnacentral:rRNA from 1 species